rnacentral:rRNA from 1 species
UACAGAGGGGGCAAGCGUUGUUCGGAAUUACUGGGCGUAAAGGGCGCGUAGGCGGCCCGCUAAGUCGAACGUGAAAUCCCCGAGCUCAACUCGGGAACUGCGUCCGAUACUGGUGGGCUUGAAUCCGGGAGAGGGAUGCGGAAUUCCAGGUGUAGCGGUGAAAUGCGUAGAUAUCUGGAGGAACACCGGUGGCGAAGGCGGCAUCCUGGACCGGCAUUGACGCUGAGGCGCGAAACCUAAGGGAGCAAACGGG